rnacentral:rRNA from 1 species
GCUUGUCUCAAAGAUUAAGCCAUGCAUGUUCAAGUAUAGCAAGUGUACAGUGAAACUGCGAAUGGCUCAUUAAAUCAGUUAUAAUUUAUUUGAUAGUGAAAUUGUACAUGGAUAACCGUGGCAAUUCUAGGGCUAAUACAUGCGUCAAGCCCCGACUUCGGAAGGGGUGCAUUUAUUAGAUUCAAACCAUCGGCCUUCACGGGUCUUUGAUGGUGAGUCAUAAUAACUGAGCGAAUCGAAUGGCCUUGUGCCGUCGAUGCUUCAUUCAAAUUUCUGCCCUAUCAGCUUUCGAUGGUAGGAUCUUGGCCUACCAUGGCUAUAACGGGUAACGGGGAAUUAGGGUUCGAUUCCGGAGAGGGAGCUUGAGAAACGGCUACCACAUCUAAGGAAGGCAGCAGG